CAGGCUGGUAGCCAAAGAGGAACCCAGAGAGUUUCCAAGUACAUAUUGCUGCUGGCUUUGAAAUGGAGGGGAGCCUGUGAGAGAAUCAGAGAGAGCUGGGAGUCACCCCAUCCGAGUCUUCAAGGAAAUGGAAACUUAGUCCACAACCACAAGGGACUGAAAAAUGAGCUUGGAGGUUUGCUAUGAAGCCAAGCAAGAGGUGCAGUUUAAAUAGAAUAACCAUCUAGAAUUGAACAACACAUUUUAAAGCAUGGAACUCCAGGUGGUCAAUCAAUUGAAUCUGCAUUGGAUAUGGAAUAUAUGUAUGAUGGCAUAAAACAACAUAACUCUUGGAGUUGAGAUACCUUUUUGGCCAUAAGAGUGACAUCUUACAGUAAUGACUUGGGACUCAUGAAGCUAUGGUGAUACACAAGUGGUAUGGAACCCAACCUGCAACAUCUCCAAUUAUGCUGCAUUGAAUUUUACUUUUUUUUUUACCUUCUAGUCUUAUUUUUCUUUUAAUUCUGCUCCUAAGAUUGUACUCCCUAAUUUAAAAAAAUCAGCAC